UCAGGCGGUAGUCCUACCUGAUCUGAGGUCCUGUCUUUACGGCGCGGGUCGUGAACGACCCUCCUCGGCCGGUCCCGGUCCCCGCCGCAGAGCGGCUUGGGUCCUUUGCUUUUGUCCGUCCGAGGGGCUUACGUCCACUCGAGGCCACGCCCGACAGCGUCGUCGGACGAAUGGGGCCCAGCGUGCUCCCGAGUCCCGUCGCGGCGGACGGCGCUCGGUGCAUGGUUUGAUUUAAUGACACUCAGACAGGCAUGCCCCCCCUCACGGAAGAGGGCGCAAUGUGCGUUCAAAGAUUCAAUGAUUCACAAGGUUCUGCGAUUCACAUUACAUUUCGCGGUUCGCUGCGUCCUUCAUCGAUGCGAGAGCCA
rnacentral:misc_RNA from 1 species